CCUACGGGAGGCAGCAGUGAGGAAUAUUGGUCAAUGGGCGCAAGCCUGAACCAGCCAUGCCGCGUGCAGGACGACGCAUCUAUGGUGUGUAAACUGCUUUUGUACGGGAAGAAACCCUGCCACGUGUGGCAGAUUGACGGUACCGUAAGAAUAAGGAUCGGCUAACUCCGUGCCAGCAGCCGCGGUAAUACGGAGGAUCCAAGCGUUAUCCGGAAUCAUUGGGUUUAAAGGGUCCGUAGGCGGUUUUAUAAGUCAGUGGUGAAAUCCGGCAGCUCAACUGUCGAACUGCCAUUGAUACUGUAGGACUUGAAUUAUUGUGAAGUAACUAGAAUAUGUAGUGUAGCGGUGAAAUGCUUAGAUAUUACAUGGAAUACCCAUUGCGAAGGCAGGUUACUAACAAUAUAUUGACGCUGAUGGACGAAAGCGUGGGGAGCGAACAGGAUUAGAUACCCUGGUAGUCCACGCCGUAAACGAUGGAUACUAGCUGUUCGGAUGCAAAUCUGAGUGGCUAAGCGAAAGUGAUAAGUAUCCCACCUGGGGAGUACGAACGCAAGUUUGAAACUCAAAGGAAUUGACGG
rnacentral:rRNA from 1 species